rnacentral:rRNA from 1 species
GACGAACGCUGGCGGCGUGCUUAACACAUGCAAGUCGAACGGAAAGGCCCUGCUUUUGUGGGGUGCUCGAGUGGCGAACGGGUGAGUAACACGUGAGUAACCUGCCCUUGACUUUGGGAUAACUUCAGGAAACUGGGGCUAAUACCGGAUAGGAGCUCCUGCUGCAUGGUGGGGGUUGGAAAGUUUCGGCGGUUGGGGAUGGACUCGCGGCAUAUCAGCUUGUUGGUGGGGUAGUGGCUUACCAAGGCUUUGACGGGUAGCCGGCCUGAGAGGGUGACCGGCCACAUUGGGACUGAGAUACGGCCCAGACUCCUACGGGAGGCAGCAGUGGGGAAUAUUGCACAAUGGGCGGAAGCCUGAUGCAGCAACGCCGCGUGCGGGAUGACGGCCUUCGGGCUGUAAACCGCUUUCGCCUGUGACGAAGCGUGAGUGACGGUAAUGGGUAAAGAAGCACCGGCUAACUACGUG